UACGAAGGGGGCUAGCGUUGCUCGGAAUCACUGGGCGUAAAGGGUGCGUAGGCGGGCCGCCAGGUCCGGGGUGAAAGCCUCCAGCUCAACUGGAGAAGUGCCUUGGAUACCGGCGGCCUCGAGGGAGGUAGGGGCGUGCGGAACUUCGGGUGGAGCGGUGAAAUGCGUAGAUAUCCGAAGGAACACCGGUGGCGAAAGCGGCGCGCUGGAUCUCUUCUGACGCUGAGGCGCGAAAGCCAGGGGAGCAAACGGG
rnacentral:rRNA from 1 species